ensembl:lncRNA LINC01505 long intergenic non-protein coding RNA 1505
GUCCAGGUAAUGGAGCAGAGACUGGAGCAGAGACAAGUUGUUCCCACUGAGCUCUCCUCAGAUUACAGAUUGGUGAUACAUCACAGGGGCUCAUGAAUGUGUCUUAAGCUGGGUCAUUGAAGUGGAAUGUUUUCACAAGACCUCCUCCACUUGCUACUGUGUCCGGAAUUGGUGGGUUCUUGGUCUCACUGACUUCAAGAAUGAAGCCGCGGACCCUCGCGGGAGUGGCAAAUCAAAGGCAUUGCAGCCUCUUUCAUCACUGCCGAUUGCUGAUGCCAACCAUGUGCCAAGUGCUUAAUACGUCACCUUAAAUCUUCUCAUCCACCCUCAGAGUAGCUGCAGCAUCAACCCAGUGCCCUGACUUUCAAGACGACUAUGAAAACACCCCAACUGCUGCUAAAUUACCAGCAACAAGGAUCUGGAAUUUUCCUGACAAGAGCAGUGCCUAUCCUGAGGCAAUCGUAUUUCUCCUUGACUUCUCUCCAGUAUCAGCUUGUUGCUUGACACCCCUGCACAGCCAACUGUGUAAUGUGGUUUGCAGCAUCACAGAAAAUGAUGCUCUCUCCUGCCAAGUCCCAUUUUUUGGGAGGAGGAAAUGGAUUAGGUCCUGGAGGUUGUCAUAAAUGCAUCAAGUGACUUUCUCAGCAUCAUCUGAAACAAUUGAAGAUCCUAAAAAAAUGAUAGCAGCUUUUAAGAAGGACUAUAGUGGAACAAGCAAUAUUCUAAGUGACAAGAGACACAGAUUCUAGAAUAAACUUAGCCAAAUAUGUAUGAACUCGAA